UAAGUAGUUAGUUAGUACUUAGCCACUGAUGCAACGAGUGUGUAGAGCACUUGCAUGCGUUAUAAUGUAACAUUUCGUUUCAACGUUUUCGUUUUAAAUGCAUAAAUACAAUCAAAAUGUUUGAAUACGUCUAUCUCACUGUUUGCCUCUUGUGCUUGUUCUACAUAUUAGCGGCGGUCUAUACGCUGUUCAUCCAUUGAACUGUGCGUUUGAUUCGCUGAACUCAUGGGGUUCAUUCUUGUUUCUGCAGCUACGUCAUUUUCGACGCGAUCGAAACAUCAGGAAUCAUUUGAUUAAAAAAUUACCAAAUAAAUCAAAUAAAGAAAUUUAACUACAAUAUAUUGUCCGUAAAACUAUUGCCGUUUAUGCGAAUUAAUUAAUAUAUAGCAGGUUAAACAUUUUUCAUGAACAACGAACGAACCGCUAUUUUCAUAUGUCUCCUUGCUCGAUGUGCAGGAGGUGUUACGACACAUUUUUAGCUUUUUUUUAUUUAACUACUAUACCUGUAAUGUGCUUCUGCUACUGCUAACAACACAAGACAUCAAUACACACCAUUCUGACACUCUUAUUUAGUGUUUUUCGGUACGUAAUUGUAGGGUAUUGUUAGAUUCCACGCAUCCACCAACUGUUGAAAGCAAUUUACUUCUCGAGUCUAUGUUACAUUACAUGCCGUGCUCUAUACUGUCAAAUCUGUCACCAAUAAGGCGCAAUGGUUUCCACGAAAAUCCGAAGACAUUUCAAGGAGGCUACCGAAAAUAAUUUUAAAACAUUAUGGCAGAAUAAAUUUGUUUGGUGUGAUAAAAAAGAAAUAUAACCAGAAAGGAACCAGAUAAGAAUAAAUUGCAUAAUAAUUUAUCUAAUUACGUAGAUGAUGAGUAAAACUUUCAUUGACCACAAAAAAAUCAAAUAAAUAAAUUUCUCACAAUGGUUAAAAUCGAAAACGACUGAUUUAAUUAACCAUUGAAAAUUUGAGGAGAUAUUUCAAAAGAAGACUGGAUAUUGAAUUAUUAAAUUAAUAAAAUAUAUCAAUAAAUUAUUAUAUACGUACAAUUGUA